rnacentral:pre_miRNA from 1 species
ACACUGAUCAUAUGGGCAUCUUGUUAAAAUGAAGAUUCUGAUUCAUUGGGUCUUUGGGUCUUCUGUGGAGCUCAAGACUUUGCAUUUCUAGCAAGCUCCCCAAUGAUUCUGAU